rnacentral:rRNA from 1 species
AACGAACGCUGGCGGCAUGCCUAACACAUGCAAGUCGAACGAGACCUUCGGGUCUAGUGGCGCAGGGGUGCGUAACGCGUGGGAACCUGCCCUUAGGUUCGGAAUAACUCCCCGCAAGGGGUGCUAAUACCGGAUAAUGUCUUAGGACCAAAGAUUUAUCGCCUUUGGAUGGGCCCGCGUUGGAUUAGCUAGUUGGUAGGGUAAAAGCCUACCAAGGCGACGCUCCAUAGCUGGUCUGAGAGGAUGAUCAGCCACACUGGGACUGAGACACGGCCCAGACUCCUACGGGAGGCAGCAGUGGGGAAUAUUGGACAAUGGGCGAAAGCCUGAUCCAGCAAUGCCGCGUGAGUGAUGAAGGCCUUAGGGUUGUAAAGCUCUUUUACCCGGGAUGAUAAUGACAGUACCGGGAGAAUAAGCACCGGCUAACUCCGUG